GGCAGAGUGAUCAGUGCAUGCCCUGACGAGAAAGGAGUCGUGAGAGACGUCAAAGUCAGGACGUUUCCCAGCUAUCCAGUCAUGAUCAAGAAGCCAUCCCAUGAAGAACAUAGUAGGAGUACUCCAGCAGCAAAGAACAACAAGAUCCCUGCUACAGUCCUACACAGAGACGUCAGACGUCUUGUUGUGUUGAUUCCUGUGGAGGAGCAAUGAAGAGAAGAUCCGGCACGCUCCAGAGAAACAGGACGUGACCUCCUUGGGUUCUGGAACCAGGAGCUCAAGUGGGAGGUGUGCUGUUGGAUCGCAAGUGGAAAGGGACUUUUGUUUUGAGUGAAAAAAAAAAAAAAAGAGACUUUUAUUUUGAAAAGGGAAGUGGAGACUUUACAGUUCUCAUGCCAGAAAGCAGGAAGUGCAGAGCUAUCUUCAAGCACAUGUAGUAAGAAGCUGUGAAGUUUAGCUGAGAAGCACAUGGUGAAUUAUUAUUGAAGAUAAAGGGUGAAGUGGGGAAAUACUUUACUUGCUGGGCAUUUCCAGGGAUGCUACUGGUUUUCAACCUGACGCAAUCUGACAUAGCCUGAUGUAAACUGAUUUAAUCUGAGUUAAACUUCUGAUUAUUUG